rnacentral:rRNA from 1 species
GUGCCAGCAGCCGCGGUAAUACGUAGGGGGCUAGCGUUAUCCGGAAUUACUGGGCGUAAAGGGUGCGUAGGUGGUUUCUUAAGUCAGAGGUGAAAGGCUACGGCUCAACCGUAGUAAGCCUUUGAAACUGGGAAACUUGAGUGCAGGAGAGGAGAGUGGAAUUCCUAGUGUAGCGGUGAAAUGCGUAGAUAUUAGGAGGAACACCAGUGGCGAAAGGCGCUUACUGGACUGGAACUGGACGUGAGGCUCGAAAGCGUGGGGAGCGACCCGGAAAGGGUCCCCUGGUAGUCC